rnacentral:rRNA from 1 species
AGUCGAGGGGUAACGGGGAAGCUUGCUUCCGCCGACGACCGGCGCACGGGUGCGUAACGCGUAUACAAUCUACCUUGUACUGGGGUAUAGCCUUUAGAAAUGAAGAUUAAUCCCCCAUAGUCUCUUAGAGUGGCAUCACUUCUAGAGUAAAGGUUACGGUAUAAGAUGAGUAUGCGUUCUAUUAGUUUGUUGGUGUGGUAACGGCACACCAAGACUACGAUAGAUAGGGGCCCUGAGAGGGGGAUCCCCCACACUGGUACUGAGACACGGACCAGACUCCUACGGGAGGCAGCAGUAAGGAAUAUUGGACAAUGGAGGCAACUCUGAUCCAGCCAUGCCGCGUGCAGGAAGACUGCCCUAUGGGUUGUAAACUGCUUUUAUACAGGAAGAAACACCUCUACGUGUAGAGGCUUGACGGUACUGUAAGAAUAAGGAUCGGCUAACUCCGUGCCAGCAGCCGCGGUAAUACGGAGGAUCCAAGCGUUAUCCGGAAUCAUUGGGUUUAAAGGGUCCGUAGGUGGAUAACUAAGUCAGAGGUGAAAUCUUGCAGCUCAACUGUAAAAUUGCCUUUGAAACUGGUUAUCUUGAGUUAUUAUGAAGUAGUUAGAAUAUGUAGUGUAGCGGUGAAAUGCAUAGAUAUUACAUAGAAUACCAAUUGCGAAGGCAGAUUACUAAUAAUUAACUGACACUGAUGGACGAAAGCGUGGGUAGCGAACAGGAUUAGAUACCCUGGUAGUCCACGCCGUAAACGAUGGUUACUAGCUGUUUGGACUUCGGUCUGAGUGGCUAAGCGAAAGUGAUAAGUAACCCACCUGGGGAGUACGUUCGCAAGAAUGAAACUCAAAGGAAUUGACGGGGGCCCGCACAAGCGGUGGAGCAUGUGGUUUAAUUCGAUGAUACGCGAGGAA